AGUCAGGGAUAUUAUAAUACAAAUACAAUACUUGUUUCUUAUACAAAUGUAAAUUGACAGUAAUAUACAGUCAACAACAGAAUUACCACAAAAGUAAUUACAUAAGACAGCAUACCCACUGUUGCUUAUAAGUAUUUAUAAUAGCUAAGAAUUUUGUUCGAGGUAAAUUCUUCUAUCUAGUAGAAGGAGUGAGACAGGAGAUGCUCCUUCAGUAAUCGCUUACACUUCUAAAUAUUAUGAUUCGGACUUUUUACAAGGGGGGGGGGGUGAAUUAUUGAAUAGCUUAAUUCCAAAAUAAUAUAUAUAUUUUUUUUACUGAGUUUAGAGUGUGGCAUAUGAAAGUUAUGUCUGUAUCUUAUACUUAUAUUGUGGAUAUCUGAGUGUGAAAAUUUUCCAUGUUGUUUAUUACAGAUGAUAAUAAGAACAAGAAUUCACUGAGUGAGUGGAGCCAACGAGAGGUCUGGUGCGACGCCGAGUAAGGACUGGUCGGCUACGUGAGCGACCACCGGGUACGUGGACCGUGGCGGCCGAGGAGCCAGCGGGUGUCCAGUGGGGUGCUACGGGCCGACGCCGAGUAAGGACUGGUCGGCUGCGUGAGCAAGCACCGGGUACGUGGACCGGAGCGGCCGAGGGGCCAGCGUGUGUCCAGUGGGGUGCUACGGGCCGACUUGUAGGAGAAGAGUGUGAAGAGUGUGAAGAGCGGAGCUCGGGGACCAGAUAGACUCGAUGGACAGAGCGAGAGAAUGUGUGUGUGUGCGCGCACAGAGACUCGAGUGUGUUGUUGUUGUAGAGAGAUGACUGUAUGUGUAGACCUCUGUAUCUGAUUUAAUUUGACGUGAAUAAAUCAGGAUUGACAAUCCAGGUCGCAACGCCGACCCACGUUACAAUAUAUAUAUGAGGAAAAGCAGAAGACCAAGUGCAGAACUCAGUUAUAGUCUUGAGUAUUAAGCUUGGAGUAUUCAAGUUGUCUUCACUAAACAGUUUAUGUUGUUCUCGGAGAAGAGGAAAAUAUUUAACAAAUGACAAGAGACGAGUCAGCUGAGAGUAAUUUUUGUUACUUAACAUUGAAAUGUUUUAUCCUGCAAUCUUAAAGUAUGUUGUCAAUUUUUAUUGUAGAACAACUUAUUGAUAUCUGUUCCUUUACCUCUCCAGGUUGACACUGGUGAUCCUGAAAUAAAAGUAACUGUCAACAAA